rnacentral:rRNA from 1 species
UACGGGGGGGGCAAGCGUUGGUCGGAAUUACUGGGCGUAAAGGGCUCGUAGGCGGCCAACUAAGUCAGACGUGAAAUCCCUCGGCUUAACCGGGGAACUGCGUCUGAUACUGGAUGGCUUGAGUGUGGGAGAGGGAUGCGGAAUUCCAGGUGUAGCGGUGAAAUGCGUAGAUAUCUGGAGGAACACCGGUGGCGAAGGCGGCGAGCUGGUCCAUUACUGACGCUGAGGCGCGACAGCGUGGGGAGCAAACAGG